rnacentral:rRNA from 1 species
UACGUAGGGGGCGAGCGUUGUCCGGAAUUAUUGGGCGUAAAGAGCGUGCAGGCGGUUCGGUAAGUCUGCCGUGAAAACCUGGGGCUCAACCCCGGGCGUGCGGUGGAUACUGCCGGGCUAGAGGGUGGUAGAGGCGAGUGGAAUUCCCGGUGUAGCGGUGAAAUGCGCAGAUAUCGGGAGGAACACCAGUAGCGAAGGCGGCUCGCUGGGCCAUUCCUGACGCUGAGACGCGAAAGCUAGGGGAGCAAACAGG